GAUUAUGGCUCAGGAUGAACGCUAGCGGCAGGCCUAAUACAUGCAAGUCGAACGGUAAAAUCCCCUUCGGGGGAUUGAGAGUGGCGGACGGGUGCGCAACGCGUAUGCAACCCAGCCCCCCUCACCGGGAUAGCCGGUGGAAACGCCGGAUAAUACCGGAUGCGCCCUUGGGGAGGCAUCUUCCUGUGGGCAAGGCGGAGACGCGGAGGGGGACGGGCAUGCGUCCCAUUAGAUGGUAGGCGGGGUGACGGCCCACCUAGUCGACGAUGGGUAGGGGAUCUGAGAGGACGGUCCCCCACACUGGUACUGAGACACGGACCAGACUCCUGCGGGAGGCAGCAGUAAGGGAUAUUGGGCAAUGGGGGGAACCCUGACCCAGCCAUGCCCGCGUGAGGGAAUGAGGCCCUACGGGUCGUGAACCUCUUUUAUUCGGGGACAAGGACGCGCACGGGAUGCGUGUUUGAGGGUACCGAAGGAACAAGCGUCGGCUAACUCCGUGCCAGCAGCCGC
rnacentral:rRNA from 1 species